rnacentral:tRNA from 1 species
GCCAUAGUUCAGUGGAAGAGCAUCUGAUUUGCAUAGAGAAAGUCCCAGGUUCAACACAUGGUAUAUCCA